rnacentral:rRNA from 1 species
AAAUUGAAGAGUUUGAUCAUGGCUCAGAUUGAACGCUGGCGGCAGGCCUAACACAUGCAAGUCGAACGGUAACAGGAAUCAGCUUGCUGAUUCGCUGACGAGUGGCGGACGGGUGAGUAAUGUCUGGGAAACUGCCUGAUGGAGGGGGAUAACUACUGGAAACGGUAGCUAAUACCGCAUAACGUCGCAAGACCAAAGAGGGGGACCUUCGGGCCUCUUGCCAUCGGAUGUGCCCAGAUGGGAUUAGCUAGUAGGUGGGGUAACGGCUCACCUAGGCGACGAUCCCUAGCUGGUCUGAGAGGAUGACCAGCCACACUGGAACUGAGACACGGUCCAGACUCCUACGGGAGGCAGCAGUGGGGAAUAUUGCACAAUGGGCGCAAGCCUGAUGCAGCCAUGCCGCGUGUAUGAAGAAGGCCUUCGGGUUGUAAAGUACUUUCAGCGGGGAGGAAGGGAGUAAAGUUAAUACCUUUGCUCAUUGACGUUACCCGCAGAAGAAGCACCGGCUAACUCCGUGCCAGCAGCCGCGGUAAUACGGAGGGUGCAAGCGUUAAUCGGAAUUACUGGGCGUAAAGCGCACGCAGGCGGUUUGUUAAGUCAGAUGUGAAAUCCCCGGGCUCAACCUGGGAACUGCAUCUGAUACUGGCAAGCUUGAGUCUCGUAGAGGGGGGUAGAAUUCCAGGUGUAGCGGUGAAAUGCGUAGAGAUCUGGAGGAAUACCGGUGGCGAAGGCGGCCCCCUGGACGAAGACUGACGCUCAGGUGCGAAAGCGUGGGGAGCAAACAGGAUUAGAUACCCUGGUAGUCCACGCCGUAAACGAUGUCGACUUGGAGGUUGUGCCCUUGAGGCGUGGCUUCCGGAGCUAACGCGUUAAGUCGACCGCCUGGGGAGUACGGCCGCAAGGUUAAAACUCAAAUGAAUUGACGGGGGCCCGCACAAGCGGUGGAGCAUGUGGUUUAAUUCGAUGCAACGCGAAGAACCUUACCUGGUCUUGACAUCCACAGAACUUUCCAGAGAUGGAUUGGUGCCUUCGGGAACUGUGAGACAGGUGCUGCAUGGCUGUCGUCAGCUCGUGUUGUGAAAUGUUGGGUUAAGUCCCGCAACGAGCGCAACCCUUAUCCUUUGUUGCCAGCGGUCCGGCCGGGAACUCAAAGGAGACUGCCAGUGAUAAACUGGAGGAAGGUGGGGAUGACGUCAAGUCAUCAUGGCCCUUACGACCAGGGCUACACACGUGCUACAAUGGCGCAUACAAAGAGAAGCGAUCUCGCGAGAGCAAGCGGACCUCAUAAAGUGCGUCGUAGUCCGGAUUGGAGUCUGCAACUCGACUCCAUGAAGUCGGAAUCGCUAGUAAUCGUGGAUCAGAAUGCCACGGUGAAUACGUUCCCGGGCCUUGUACACACCGCCCGUCACACCAUGGGAGUGGGUUGCAAAAGAAGUAGGUAGCUUAACCUUCGGGAGGGCGCUUACCACUUUGUGAUUCAUGACUGGGGUGAAGUCGUAACAAGGUAACCGUAGGGGAACCUGCGGUUGGAUCACCUCCUUA